rnacentral:rRNA from 1 species
GUUGUUCGGAAUUACUGGGCGUAAAGCGCACGUAGGCGGAUUGGAAAGUUAGAGGUGAAAUCCCGGGGCUCAACCCCGGAACUGCCUUUAAAACUCCCAGUCUAGAGGAUAGGAGAGGUCAGUGGAAUACCGAGUGUAGAGGUGAAAUUCGUAGAUAUUCGGUGGAACACCAGUGGCGAAGGCGACUGACUGGACUAUUUCUGACGCUGAGGUGCGAAAGUGUGGGGAGCAAACAGGAUUAGAUACCCUGGUAGUCCACACCGUAAACGAUGAGAGCUAGUUGUCAGCAAGCAUGCUUGUUGGUGACGCAGCUAACGCAUUAAGCUCUCCGCCUGGGGAGUACGGUCGCAAGAUUAAAACUCAAAGAAAUUGACGGGGGCCCGCACAAGCGGUGGAGCAUGUGGUUUAAUUCGAAGCAACGCGCAGAACCUUACCCACCUUUGACAUCCUGUGACAGCUCCAGAGAUGGAGUUUUCUUCGGACACAGUGACAGGUGCUGCAUGGCU